AAUAGCAGAAUUUCCAGUUCUUGGUCGCAUCAGAAACAGCAGGGUUCGCAUCCGUGAUACAACUUUCUCUUCAAGGUUACUUCUCACUUAAUCUUAACUGUAAACAAGUUUCAGCAUUGUGCUAUAUCCAUUUAUUCACGGGACCCAACUGUAGUUGCCAAUUUCAUUUUUCCCCUUCAGGAAAAUAAUGAAUAUUGACCUUGCAGUUACUAGAUUUGUUCUAUUUAGUUCUGGCUGAAGUUAUCUAAGAACUGUGACUCUCGGGACUAAGAUCUAUCUAGUUCUAGCUGAAAUUAUGCAAGAAAACUGUCUCAUCCUUACCAUUAAUGAUUAAAAUGAUGAGAAGCUUCAUAGUUUUCUACUGGUGAAUUGUGCUUGAUACUUGAUUGUGAUGGUAAAUGCUUUAAACGUUAUGUUUCUUGAAUAAUUUCUUGUUCACAUUAAUGCAGGCAAUAUGGUUUGCGUGAAAGUAAAGAAGUGACUAUAGAAGGAAGAGUGCAGUUUGAUUUACUUCAGGUUCUUAUCAACAUCAGGAUAGUUAUUUUCUAUAAUGAUUUGUAGAAGUAAAAACUGAAAUAUCAUUUUUGGCUUGCUCUAUCUCACCUUCAUCCCAUGUAUUCUAUAUCUGACAGGCUAUGCAGCGAGAUUACAAGCUGAGUUCUUAUUCUCUCAAUUCUGUUUCUGCACACUUCCUUGCAGAGCAAGUGAGUAUCCUGCUAUUCCUUGCGGUUACUGUAUUUUGGUUCAUGCUCGAAUUUUUCCAAUUAACUGGUUAACUACACUAGAAGGUUUAACAAUUUUUAGUAGGAAGGUUGUUUUGUUGUUUAAAGUGCGCUAAUCGUCUUGCUGGUGCCACCUAUUUUAAGAACAGAAAGAGGAUGUUCACCAUUCAAUAAUAUCUGAUCUUCAAAAUGGCAACUCAGAGACAAGAAGACGGCUGGCUGUCUAUUGCUUGAAGGUGCAUUUAGUAUCUUGAAACCUUUCAUGGCAUAUCUUUUCUUAGUAUAAUAUUCGGUUCAUUCAGAGCCUUUUGCAUUUAUAAAUUAGUAGCUAUCCUUCUUUUACAAAAAAAAUCCAGGACGCUUAUCUUCCGCAACGUCUCCUAGACAAACUGAUGUUUAUUUACAACUAUGUGGAGAUGGCAAGAGUCACUGGUGUUCCUAUCUCAUUUCUGCUCUCCAGGGGUCAGAGUAUUAAGGUGUCACUAUUGAUAACUUUGUCAUAUCUUUUAUUGAGAGAAGAGUUUUGCAUUCAACUGACAUUUCUCUUUUUUUCUGUUUUUGUCUUUUUAACUCUCUUGCAGGUUCUUUCUCAGCUUCUCAGGAAGGCAAAGCAGAAAAACCUUGUACUACCAAAUGUUAAGGGGCAGGGAUCUGGACAAGAAACUUUUGAGGGUGCAACUGUAAGUUGGUAUAACCAAAUAUGCUUGUUUCCAUCUCCCUGAUUGCUUUCAACAUCUAAGACAGCUCACUACAUGCAGUUCAUUCAUAUCUUAUUUAUUGCGGACCUUUUGUCAUUUGGCUACCAAGUUAGUUGCAGUGAGGUUUAAGUCAAAUAAAAGGCUGCUGCUGCUUGGUUUUUUUUUUAAAAAAAAAAAAAAAUCUUCAGGUUGUGAAUACAUAGCCAGGGACAAAGGAUAAUGCCUUUUCUGCUUAUCCUUUCAUUGCAGGUUUUGGAAGCAAAGGCUGGAUUUUAUGAGAAGCCCAUUGCUACUUUGGACUUUGCUUCUUUGUACCCGUCUAUCAUGAUGGCAUACAAUUUAUGCUACUGCACUUUGGUAUUACAUUAUCAACUUGUUACUAGAAUAUAUUACAUUUCUAAACCUACGUUGCAGUUUAAUUUAUUGUUUGAGCGUGAAAAUUCCUUAGCUUUCCCCUUACAUUCUGUAUAGGUGACACCAGAGGAUGCUCGCAGAUCAAACUUGCCAGCGGAAAGCAUCAAUAAAACUCCAUCUGGUGAAAUAUUUGUUAAACCAGAUUUGCAGAAGGUGAAACUAUUUGUUGUUUCAUAUGCCAAUACGUAGUCUUAAUAAGUAGUGCUUUUCAAAGAAAUAAUGUCUUGGAUGUCCAACCAGGGUAUACUACCAGAAAUUCUUGAAGAACUCUUAGCUGCUCGUAGAAGGGCAAAAGCAGAUCUUAAGGUAUUCAUUUGCUUGUAAUGUCAUCACAAUGUGGGAAACUGAUGAUCUAGAAUUACUUUUGCUGAUCUUUCAUUGGUUAUGCUUUCAUAAAUGCUAGUGAACUUGUGAUUUCUGAAUUGAUUGUGAUAACUGUCAGGAAGCAAAAGAUCCGUUUGAAAAGGCUGUUCUAGAUGGUCGACAGCUGGCCUUAAAAGUAAAUUUUCUUCUCUAUGCAUUAUGUACGCUUCUUCAAAGAUGAUAGAUGUUUUUUAUUCACCGAGUUUGGGAUGUAAUCUGUGUACAAGUGUUAUUUCUUCAGAUAAGUGCAAACUCGGUCUAUGGUUUUACUGGAGCAACUGUUGCGCAAUUACCUUGUCUGGAGAUAUCUUCUAGUGUGACAAGCUAUGGUAAAAGACACUGUUUUUCUAUGUGACAAGAGCUUAUUUUCAAGCACAAAGGACAAUGAGUUGAUCUGUUUUCAAAAUUGACUAGUAUCAUAUAACUAGAAAUAUGUCUCUUUCCUUCGGGUAUAUUUUAAAAACUCAUGUUCGCUGCAUUUAAGGCCGACAGAUGAUAGAGCACACAAAGAAGCUCGUGGAGGAGAAAUUCACAACCAUGGGAGGAUAUGAACAUAAUGCAGAGGUGCAAUUAUAUCUGUAUAUUUUUAUAUGUGAGAAAUAUAGAGUUAAAUUUCUAUUGAUUAAGAGCUCAAUGAAAUUUUAUUACACUUCAGACCUGCUUAUCGAAAUUCUUGUCAAAUUUCUUCAUGCAUUGAAGUAUUCAAAGUUAGGAGAAAGUAAAAGUGUAGUUCUGAUGAAGAUGUUCAUGAAGAUGACAUCUUAACAUACUAUCCGGAAUAGCUUGCCAGUAUCCAAAACAACCAAAAAUAAAUCACAAAGAAUUAGUAGAGAAAUGUAGGAGAUAUGUUAGUUGUGCUGUUUGAUUAAUUGUAUACCAAGGGUAACUUUUUCCAUAAUUAGAUAGUUUGUUCUGAAAAUUAUGUCUACUUGUAUUUGGCUAGGUUGUAUAUGGAGACACUGACUCUGUGAUGGUACAAUUUGGUGUUCCAACUGUGGAGGCUGCAAUGAAGUUAGGAAGAGAGGCUGCAGACUAUAUUAGUGGAACAUUCACGAAGGUAGUACAAAAUGGCAAGUUAAUGGCCUCUCUAAUUCACUGUCACAAUACAGCUGGUCUUUUCCAGUUUAUUAACCUUUUUCUCUACAAACUGUCGUUAUCUCUAAACACGCUGGUAAACUAAUUGUUUAUAUAUUUUGUCACUUGAAGCCCAUUAAAUUAGAGUUUGAGAAGGUCUAUUAUCCAUUUCUACUAAUCAGCAAGAAGAGAUAUGCUGGCUUGUAUUGGACAAAUCCUGAGAAGUUUGACAAAAUGGACACCAAGGGUAAGAAGUAAAUCUCUCUAACCAUUUUGUCAUCCCGUGUAUCGCCUUUUCCGAAAGCUAAUAUUUUUAUUCAACAGGCAUCGAGACAGUGAGAAGAGACAACUGUUUAUUGGUUAAGAACCUGGUAACUGAAUGCCUUAAUAAGAUAUUGAUCGACCGAGAUGUUCCUGGUGCUGUUCAAUAUGUCAAAAAUACAAUUUCUGAUCUUCUGAUGAACCGUAUGGACUUGUCUCUUUUAGUCAUUACGAAGGUGAGAGAAGCAGUUUUUUGUUGAUUGUUAUUUAUCUAGAGAUGAUUUUCAAUGCUUGAUUAACUUCUUAAUGGAUUGUAAUACCGCCAUUUUGAUUUAGAUUCUUGAUGUUGUUAUAAUGAUACUGCAGGGCUUGACAAAAACAGGAGAUGAUUAUGCAGUAAAAGCUGCACAUGUUGAGCUUGCUGAACGGAUGCGAAAAGUAUGACAUCAUUUUUACUUUUUUUAUUUCUGGUGUAGAAUUUUUAUUACAUUUUUUAUUCUUAAUCUAGUUCUUCAGAGGAUAUAUUGCAGUAACAACUAGAGUCAAAAAAAAUUACGCGGACAACGUUUAACGAAGGUGUCAUGUUAAAUAAAGCCUAAUAAAUGGAGAUUCAGCGGUGCCAGUCUAGGUCAUAAUGCUAGUAUAUAUGUUCAUUAAGAGAAAACAAAAUAAGGAAAUAUGCAAACUCAUUAAUCAAGUUUGUUAAUUAGCUAAGCUAAGCUUACUUCUUCCAACCUGAUUGGACACGGGAUAGUGAACAAGUUGUUUCAUCCUACUUUUUCACCAAUUUAAUCAACAACAUUAAAAUAAUAGCAAGAUGGUGAAAUUUUGAAAAGUAAACAGCUACUUAUCUGUGUAUUUUUUCACCAAUUAAUGCACAAAUAUAUAUCAUUUUGCUCUUUCUUCUUUUUUGAGAGAGAGAGAGAACGGGUUAAACAGAAUAUGUUUGAUGUUUUUAUUUAUCCUUAUGAGUAGACAGUUCUUUAAUCCACAUUUCCUAGCAAUAAUGGUGAUGGUUGUUACAGCGGGAUGCUGCUACUGCUCCAAAUGUUGGAGAUCGUGUUCCCUAUGUCAUAAUCAAAGCUGCAAAAGGUGCUAAGGUAAUUCAUGUCGUGUCUUUUUUUUUAACCAUGAUUUUUGUUUGUUGAUACAUUUGCUUUGUGCUCAGGCUUAUGAGAGAUCAGAAGAUCCAAUUUACGUUUUGGAGAAUAACAUCCCAAUAGAUCCUCAAUACUACCUUGAGAAUCAAAUAAGCAAGGUCGGCAUUAUAAGAAAGCUGAAAUUUGUGUGAUGUGCCUUCCCUUCUAAUUUAUUGUGUUGUUUUGAUUCUGGCAGCCACUAUUGAGAAUAUUUGAGCCCAUUUUGAAGAAUGCUAGUAAAGAGCUGCUGCAUGGAAGUCACACUAGAGCUGUUUCUAUUUCAACUCCAUCAAAUAGUGGAAUAAUGAAAUUUGCUAAGAAGCAACUUACUUGCCUCGGAUGUAAAGCAGUAAUCAGGUACGGUUUUCAAUAUAAAAUGUUGUCAGUUCAAUCAGGUUAUAAUAUGUUGGCUUAUGCGUUAGCGAAAGAUCUGUUUUGUCGCUACGGUUUGCUGAAUCUUGAGUGUUAUUACUUGUUCCUCUCUUCAUUCACUUUUUAGUCUAUUUUUAUUUCAUUGUUAUUGUUUUGAUUGAUUAGGAACUUUAUGGUGCUUUUUAUGAAUCAUAAUUACAACCUUAUCUUUGUUCCUUUCCUCCCAGCAAUGCAUCUCAAACUCUUUGCUCGCAUUGCAAAGGAAGGGAGGCUGAGCUAUAUUGCAAAACAGUAGCAAAUGGUAAUUUCCAUGCAACCAACAAACCCAAUACACAUUACGAUUUCUCGUCGGAGUUACAGUUGAAAACGGCUAUUCAUGUUAUCCAUUAAUCGGUGUCAUUUACAGUCGCUGAAUUGGAGUUGCUCUUUGGGAGGCUAUGGACCCAAUGCCAAGAAUGCCAAGGUUCUCUUCACCAGGAUGUUCUAUGCACCAGGUUCACCUCUCUCUCUCUCUCCCUCCCUCUCUCUCAUGCCUAAAGAUGAAUAAUUUCAAAGUAACUCAUCGUCGGCAUUUCUAUAACUCAGCCGUGAUUGCCCCAUCUUUUACCGAAGGAAGAAGGCACAAAAAGAUAUGGCGGAAGCUAAAUCGCAGCUGGAUCGAUGGGACUUUUGAGGCUCAAAGGUGUGCUUAAAAUAGCCUCGUUUAUUAUUCGGCGCAUGUUUCUUUCAUUGUGGAUUCGGUCCACAAAAAUCGGUAAAUAUUGUUGUUAUAUUAAUUAUUUUUCUUGUCCUCCAUAUGUUUUCUUAUAGGUUUGCCUCUUUUCCUUGUUGUACAUUUUGUAAGAUUGCAGAUGCAAUUCGCGUACCGCAAUAUAAGAUCAUCAUGAAGACAAAUGAGAAAGAUUUUGUCGAGGGCUCAUGUCGCAUCAACAAUGCCCCAGGGCUUAAAAAGGAAAAAGAAAAACAAGAAAAACUAAAUGGGGUAAUGGUGAGACUAGCAGAUUUGGGAGUAAGUUGAGAGAUGAACAUGUUGAGGGAGGAGGGUAACUGUUGUAAAGUAAAUAGUAAUAGUAAUUGUGCUUGUUCUGUUUCUGCUGUGAGAUAAACAUGAACAAUUACACAACCAAUUUGUGAGGCUGUGUAAUUAUUCGGUAUCUUUGUGGGAAUUGCCUUGAUAUUUAUGCAAAUAUCCUUUGUAAGUUUGUGAAGGUCUAAAUGUGAUGUGAUAGGCUUUGAACUGCACCAUUGAACUUAUCUUGCAGUUCAUCUAAGACUGGACGCAUUUAGGUCAUAUGACGGUAGGCAGGCGAGGUAACAUUCAGUUAAUACCAUCUCAGAUGGACUGUACGAUUGUUGUGUCAGGAAAAAGAAAAAUCAAAAGGAAAAAUUUCAAAUACCACUUAUAUGGUUUUGCAUUUUUUUUUUACUUUAGUGUCUUGUAGUUUAAAAUAUAUCAUUUUUAUAUCUUGUGAUUUUAUUUUAUUUUUUUAUUAUUUGUUUCAUUAAUUUUUUUUCGUUAAAUAAGUAAUAAAUUAAAAAAAGGUACUAAAGUGAAUAUUCGAUAAACUAUAGAUAGAGUAUUUGAAGUUUUUUGUAUAUAAUUUAAUGAAAAGCUAACGGAGGGGUUGACGAAAAGAGAAAAAUAAAACCAGUAAAUUAAUAUAUUUUAAAUUACAGGAUGGUAUUUGAAGUUUAUUCAAAUCAAAAUCAUGUGCAUAGGCCUUCUCAAAAUGCUAUCUGAUGUAUUAGCAAAUAUAAUAAUUUAAAUGAUACUACAUAAAAUUUAGAAGCAGGUAUCAACAUUUUUAAAGAGACAUACAUAUACCAAAAAACUUUACAAAAUAAAAUUUUAAUACUUUAGUUUAAUAUAAAAUUAUUGCAAUACCUUGCGUAAAUAAUUUUUCACGGCAAUAUGUCAUUAUAUCUGAGGCCAAUUAAAUCCUUGUUUUAAAAAUUAAUAAUAAUUUUUUAAAAAAAUUAUGAUGGGAUAGAUAAAUUUUAGGGAAAAGUUUGGAAUAUUACUCUUAUAGUUUUACGCUUUCUCACUUUAGUACUAUAUAAUUUAAAAUAUAUCACUUUAGUAUCCGGUGAUUUCAUUUUUCUUUUUCCAUUAUCCUUUCGUUAAUUUUUUCGUUAUAUCAUCAAUAAAGUUAAAAUCACAUGGUAUAAAUAAAAAUUCAGUAAAUCAUAGAUGAGUUAUUCGAAUUUUUUUGUAUAUGACUUAGAAAUUAAUGAAGGUGUCGAUAAAAAGAGAAAAAUAAAAUCAUAUGAUGUUAAAAUAAAACAUUUGAAAUUACAAAAUACUAAAGUAAAAAAAUGAGAUCUAUAAAAAUGGUGUUUAAAAUUUACCCUAAUUUUAUGAACAAACUUGAUGGACAAAAAAUAUAAAUCACGUUAUGCAACCGUCGCAUUUUAAAAUUUUUUACACCAGUGAUACCGACAAAUUUCAAAUACCCCUAUGUGAUUUCACACUUUUUCACUUUAGAACACUAUGAUUUAAAGUGUAUCAAGUUAGCAUCCUGUGGUUUCGCACUUUCUCACUUUAGUACUCUGUGGUUUAAAAUGUAUCAAGUUAAUACUCUGUGGUUUCAUUUUUGUAUUAAGUUAGUAUCCUGUGGUUUUAUUUUUUUCUUUUUAUUAUCCAUUUCAGAAUAUUUUUUUUAUUAAAUCAGUGACAAAGUUAAAACUAAAAGAUACUAAAAUGAAUAUUCGAUAAACCUAGGUAGGGUAUUUGAAGUUUUUUUUGUAUAUAAUUUAACGAAAUAUUAAACCACAGGGUACUAAAGUGAGAAAGUGCGAAACCACAUGGUACUAACUUGAUACACUUUAAACAACCAUAGGAUACUAAAGUGAGAAAGUGUGUAACCACAGGGGGUAUUUGAAGUUUUUCCAAAUAAUAAUAGUAAUAAUAAUUCUAAUAAUAAUAGUAUAACACUAAUAAUAACCGACCGUCCCUAGAGCAAGUGGCAAAGGGCUCGGUAGUUGGUACCGGAGAUCCAAGUUCGAAUCCUAAUUGAUUCAUAUUUUCAGCUAAAUUUAUUUCUAAAUGAAAUAAACGAAGCGGGUAGCCCGCGUCUUAUCUCUCAAAAAUAAAAAAAAAAAAAAAAAACACUAAUAAUAAAAGGACGAAAUUACUUUUUUCCCGCCAUCGAAAAGCAUAUUCUAUUUCUACUCCUCCCAAGUCCCAACGACCCACUACGACCCCCGCCGCCUCAACAGUCAACACCCCCCAGCCGUCCACGCGUCCUCCCCCUAUUGGCCGUAGGCGAUUGUGCUUUGGGGCUUUUCCUCGUGGAUCGAAAACGAUAUCAGUGGCCGUCCAACUCCACCAAACCCCAUUUCAACAUCAUCAUCAUCGUCCUCCUCCUCCUCCUCCUCCUCAUUCUCUCUCUCUCUCUCUCUCUCUCUCUCUCUCUCUCUCUUCGCGCACAGCAUCGUCAACAAUGGCGGAGCUCCUCCUCUCCUCCCCCGCCUCCUCCUCGGCCUCCGCCUCCGCCUCCAUCGUCGUCUCCCUCAGCGGCGCCUCCUCCCGCCUCCCGAAGAAGCCGGCGUCCGCGUCGGCCUCGGCGCAGGCUCUCCCCUUCCCCUUCCACGCUGCGUCUCCUUCUCCCUCUCCUUCGCUCCGCGUCUCAGCUCGAUCGCUGCAUCGUCUCCUCCCGCUCUCUCCUCGCCGAAACCCUAGCCUCCUCCGGGUUCGAUCUCUCUCUCUCUCUCUGAUCUUGUUCCUUGUUUUAGGGCUUAUUGUACUGGUAAUAGCAGCGUUCGAUCGUGUUUCUCUAAACGUAAAAAUCGAUUUGACAUAAGACACACACCUCAACUUUAAUUUGCUAUUAUUACUUCUUUAGCUUUUAGAUAUUCUGAUUUAAGUUAUUUUUAAUUAAAUUAAGUUAAAAAUUUGUUUAAAUGACUGUAGCUAUAUACAUCGGUAACAAUUAGCAUUUUUUUUUUUAAGAAUAGUAAAAGUUUAACUAAAACGCUAAUACUCUCAAUUUUUGGUUCUUCGAAUUUAAAUUUUUUUAUAAUUGACUAAAUUAAGAGGUUUGUUUGUUAUAUUUAAAUGUGUUUUGAUCCAAUUUUAACUGUUUUAAAUACUUUUUUCAACUCAUGGAGCUACAGAGUAGUUCAGUUUUUAGGAAAAAAAAUAGAUUAAAUAAAAAAUUUAAAAUUUUAGGGGGCGUUUGUGAGCCGUUCGAUGGGCUCGGCGGGUGCCAUGUGUGCGGCAUCGGAUGCGGCGCAGUUGAGAAGCGCUAGGGAGGAUAUUAAGGAGCUUCUCAACACCACAUUUUGUCACCCCAUUUUGGUAUGCACAUGAGACCUAUUUGUUUUUUUUUUAAUUUUAAAUUAUCUAAUAAUUUAGGACCUUAGGUUUCUUGUUUGUAAUUUUUGAAGGUAUUUGUAUAUU
rnacentral:lncRNA from 1 species